rnacentral:tRNA from 1 species
GAGGGUGUAGCUCAGUGGGUGAGCACAUGCUUGGCAUGUACGAGGUCCUGGGUUCAAUCCCCUGUACCUCCA